UACGUAGGGGGCAAGCGUUGUCCGGAUUUAUUGGGCGUAAAGAGCGUGUAGGCGGCUUUACAGGUCCGUUGUGAAAACUCGAGGCUCAACCUCGAGACGCCGGUGGAAACCGUAAAGCUAGAGUCCGGAAGAGGAGAGUGGAAUUCCUGGUGUAGCGGUGAAAUGCGCAGAUAUCAGGAAGAACACCCGUGGCGAAGGCAGCUCGCUGGGACGGUACUGACGCUGAGACGCGAAAGCGUGGGGAGCAAACAGG
rnacentral:rRNA from 1 species